CCUACGGGAGGCAGCAGUGAGGAAUAUUGGUCAAUGGACGAGAGUCUGAACCAGCCAAGUAGCGUGAAGGAUGACUGCCCUAUGGGUUGUAAACUUCUUUUAUAUGGGAAUAAAAUGUUCCACGUGUGGGAUUUUGUAUGUACCAUAUGAAUAAGGAUCGGCUAACUCCGUGCCAGCAGCCGCGGUAAUACGGAGGAUCCGAGCGUUAUCCGGAUUUAUUGGGUUUAAAGGGAGCGUAGGUGGAUUGUUAAGUCAGUUGUGAAAGUUUGCGGCUCAACCGUAAAAUUGCAGUUGAAACUGGCAGUCUUGAGUACAGUCGAGGUAGGCGGAAUUCGUGGUGUAGCGGUGAAAUGCUUAGAUAUCACGAAGAACUCCGAUAGCGAAGGCAGUUCACUGGACUGCAACUGACACUGAGGCUCGAAAGUGUGGGUAUCAAACAGGAUUAGAUACCCCUGUAGUC
rnacentral:rRNA from 1 species